GCGGAUGGUUGAUCAGACAACAUACAUUUUACAGAUGAUGUAUGUCAGCUGGUCCACGGUCCCU
rfam:Ictidomys tridecemlineatus contig074080, whole genome shotgun sequence.